GACGAACGCUGGCGGCGUGCUUAACACAUGCAAGUCGAACGGAAAGGCCCUGCUUUUGUGUGGUGCUCGAGUGGCGAACGUGUGAGUAACACGUGAGUAUCCUGCCCUUUACUUUGUGAUAACUUCAGGAAACUGGUGCUAAUACCUGAUAGGAGCUCCUGCUGCAUGGUGGGGUUUGGAAAGUUUCGGCUGUUGGGGAUGUACUCGCGGCUUAUCAGCUUGUUGGUGGGGUAGUGGCUUACCCAGGCUUAGACGGAUAGCCGGCCUGGGAGGGUGAACGGCGACAAGGGGACUGAGAGACGGAGCAGAGUGGUACGGGAGGCAGCAGUGGGGAAUAUUGCACAAUGGGCGGAAGUCUGAGGAAGAAACGCCGCGUGCGGGAUGAAGGCCUUCGGGGUGUAAACCGCUUUCGCCUGUGACGAAGCGGGAGUGACGGUAAUGGGUAAAGAAGCACCGGCUAACUACGUG
rnacentral:rRNA from 1 species